rnacentral:misc_RNA from 1 species
UAGAUAUAGGAAGUAAACCAAUUAUCAAUCUCUUACUGAAAGCUGGAGGUGACCCCAAUAUCGGUGAUGAGGUGGAUGGAAAGCCAAUACAAGUUGCUGCUGCAAGAAAUAACCGGGAACUUGUCGAACUACUUUUUCCAUUGACAUCUCCUCUUCCUAAUAUUUCAAACUGGAGUGUUGAAGGAUUGAUUGAGUAUAUGCAGUCCAAAGAAAGGAUCAGACUGGAGUCCUAUAAGCCGGAGGAAAGUGAAGUGCCAGAAGCCAGCAUGCAAAAGCUGAA